GACGAACGCUGGCGGCGUGCUUAACACAUGCAAGUCGAACGAUGAACCCGGAGCUUGCUCCGGUGGAUUAGUGGCGAACGGGUGAGUAACACGUGAGUAACCUGCCCUUGGCUCUGGGAUAACUGCGGGAAACUGUAGCUAAUACCGGAUACGACCCUCGGCGGCAUCGCCAGGGGGUGGAAAGAAUUUCGGUCAAGGAUGGACUCGCGGCCUAUCAGCUAGUUGGUGAGGUAACGGCUCACCAAGGCGACGACGGGUAGCCGGCCUGAGAGGGUGACCGGCCACACUGGGACUGAGACAAGGCCCAGAAUCCUACGGGGGGCAGCAGUGGAGAAUAAUGCACAAUGGGCGCAAGCCUGAUGCAGAAACGCCGCGUGAGGGAUGACGGCCUUCGGGUUGUAAACCUCUUUUAGUAGGGAAGAAGCGAAAGUGACGGUACCUGCAGAAAAAGCACCGGCUAACUACGUGCCAGCCGCCGCCGUAA
rnacentral:rRNA from 1 species